GGAGGUAGAAGAGACUGUCGCCAGCUUGCGCUUGUGCACGUCCCCCUCGCCUUCGACUGUCCGAGAUAUAUAUUAACAUACACCCGUGCACCUUUUGUAGAUCCCCCCUUCGAGAGAGGUGGUGGCGAUCUAUGUUUUCAUCAUAUCACACACAUCGUAUGGCCAGAAUGUAACAAACAACAAUAAUACAACUUUCAGCAACGGAUCUCUUGGUUCUCGCAUCGAUGAAGAACGCAGCGAAUUGCGAUAAGUAAUGUGAAUUGCAGAUUUCCAGUGAAUCAUCGAAUCUUUGAACGCAUCUUGCGCUCCUUGGUAUUCCGAGGAGCAUGCCUGUUUGAGUGUCAUCUAAUUUAUCAACCAAAUAUUCAUUUAUUUGGCUUGGAGUUGGGAGUUGCUGGCAGCCAUGUCAGCUCUCCUCAAAUGUAUUAGCGAUCGAGUUGGCUAGUCUUUGACGUGCACGGCCUUGGACGUGAUAAUGAUCGUCCUGGCUGGAGCGUCUUUCCGAGACUAUUGUACAUAGGUUGCUUCUAAUCAUGAACAUGAAUAUGGAGAUGGAAGGCAAGGAUGGAGAGGGGUCUAGGUCUAGUCUUGUCUGAUAUGGUUGGGUCU
rnacentral:rRNA from 1 species